UAAAAUGGGGAAAAUGAUAUUUUUCGAUUAUUACAAAUAUGACACUAAAACCAGAGAGCACUGUCAAUAACAUCCUUAGGAACAAGACACUUUAGUAGGCACACGAACCCUAUCGUCAAUUUCCUUUAAGUUUUGCUUAAUCAACAAACCCAGCUCUUUCAAAUCCAUCGAAUUCAAACUCUGCAAUAUCUCUUUUCCAUUCAGGCUUUGGAACAUGGCAGUUUUCAACUCCUUCUGUCAAUUUUCCUUACGCAGUUUCCUAAGAUGUUGAGUAGCUUUGGCUAAAGCUUUGCUCAAAGAAACUCUCUUGGUUAACCAUCAAUUGUUUUGUUUCGACAGGGGCAGCUUCUUGGACUUGGACAGCAAGCGUCGGGCACUCACGUGGGACGACCAUACCUCAGGUUGGGAGUUGAAAUCAGGAGAGUACAUAAUAGUACAAGCUUCAAUCCCAUAAAGGGUAGUGAGUUCAUGCACCUUCUUCACUAGACCCUUGGUUCUUUUCUUGUAAGUAGUUUUCCUUACUAAAUCAUUGGUAAUGUAGGCAAGCUUUAUUUUCUUUCUAGACAUGGAUAAUUGAAGAUUUAUUUUCUAUGCAUUUGAUUACAUGUUACCCUCACAGUGUGUGUGCUUAUGUAUGGAUAUUAGAGGCUUGUAGAGAAGAAGGGAUGCCCCACUUAUCCUUACUGGACACAUAUUAAUGUUGGCCUAAAAAGGAAAUGAGAAGAUAGGUGUUCAAAUUCCAGUUAUGAUACCAAAUUCAUUACCAUAAUAGCUGCAAUUUUAAUGUCGACAUUAAAUGCAUAAGUAUGUUUAAAGUUCAUAUAUCUGGCUUUCAGUUAUAUAUUUCAUAUUUCAGUGAUAUAUACCAUUUGUGUCACAAAGGUCGAAAUAAACUUCUCGUAGGCAUUUUACCGGGUUUUUGGGGCUCCAGAGGUUAGGAAUAAAUUGGAGACUUGGGAGUUAAUAGUUUAGGGAGAAAUAAUUCACUUCCAUGGUUGGUGGGUGGGGACUUCAACGAUAUUCUUUAUGCUCAUGAAAAAUAGGGCGGCUUGCUAAGGGAAGAGGCUCGGAUGAAGGCUUUUCGUAAAACUUUGGAAGAUUGUCAAUUGGAGAAUAUUGGUUUUUUAGGUGCUUGGUUCACGUGGGAAAGAGGCAAAACUAUGGACUAGAAUAUUAGGGAAAGAAUUGAUAGAGGGGUGGCCACUGAUUCUUGGUUUCAACUUUUUCAAAAGUAUUCUUUAACGCAUCUUCCACAUUCUUUCUUGGACCAUUGUCCAUUACUUAUGGAAACGGAAGAUGAAAAGAGGGGUAAAAAAUCUGUUAAGUUUCGAUUGAAGUUGAUAAUCUUAUAUAUCCCAAGACAAAGAUAGCAUUAAAACCAGAUAGCGCUGUCAAUAACAUCCUGAGGAACAACGCGCUUUAGUAAGCACACGAACCCUAUUGUCAAUUUCCUUCAAGUUUUGCUUAACCAACAGACCCAACUCUUUCAAAUCUAUCAAAUUCAAACUAUGUAAUAUCCAUUUUCCUUUCAGGCUUUGGAACAUGGUUUUCAACUCCUGUCGAUUUUCCUUACACAAUUUCCUAAGAUGUUGAGUAGCUUUGGCUAAGCUUUGCUCAAGGAAACUCUCUUGGUUAAACCAUCAAUUGUUUUGUUUCAACAAGGCAGCUUCUUGAACUUGGC
rnacentral:lncRNA from 1 species